UUCGACACACUAUCAUUAACUGAAUCCAUAGGUUAAUGAGGCGAACCGGGGGAACUGAAACAUCUAAGUACCCCGAGGAAAAGAAAUCAACCGAGAUUCCCCCAGUAGCGGCGAGCGAACGGGGAGGAGCCCAGAGCCUGAAUCAGUGUGUGUGUUAGUGGAAGCGUCUGGAAAGGCGCGCGAUACAGGGUGACAGCCCCGUACACAAAAAUGCACAUACUGUGAGCUCGAUGAGUAGGGCGGGACACGUGGUAUCCUGUCUGAAUAUGGGGGGACCAUCCUCCAAGGCUAAAUACUCCUGACUGACCGAUAGUGAACCAGUACCGUGAGGGAAAGGCGAAAAGAACCCCGGCGAGGGGAGUGAAAAAGAACCUGAAACCGUGUACGUACAAGCAGUGGGAGCCUCUUAAUGGGGUGACUGCGUACCUUUUGUAUAAUGGGUCAGCGACUUAUAUUCUGUAGCAAGGUUAACCGAAUAGGGGAGCCGAAGGGAAACCGAGUCUUAACUGGGCGUUAAGUUGCAGGGUAUAGACCCGAAACCCGGUGAUCUAGCCAUGGGCAGGUUGAAGGUUGGGUAACACUAACUGGAGGACCGAACCGACUAAUGUUGAAAAAUUAGCGGAUGACUUGUGGCUGGGGGUGAAAGGCCAAUCAAACCGGGAGAUAGCUGGUUCUCCCCGAAAGCUAUUUAGGUAGCGCCUCGUGAAUUCAUCUCCGGGGGUAGAGCACUGUUUCGGCAAGGGGGUCAUCCCGACUUACCAACCCGAUGCAAACUGCGAAUACCGGAGAAUGUUAUCACGGGAGACACACGGCGGGUGCUAACGUCCGUCGUGAAGAGGGAAACAACCCAGACCGCCAGCUAAGGUCCCAAAGUCAUGGUUAAGUGGGAAACGAUGUGGGAAGGCCCAGACAGCCAGGAUGUUGGCUUAGAAGCAGCCAUCAUUUAAAGAAAGCGUAAUAGCUCACUGGUCGAGUCGGCCUGCGCGGAAGAUGUAACGGGGCUAAACCAUGCACCGAAGCUGCGGCAGCGACACUAUGUGUUGUUGGGUAGGGGAGCGUUCUGUAAGCCUGUGAAGGUGUACUGUGAGGU
rnacentral:rRNA from 1 species